rnacentral:snRNA from 1 species
AUACCUUUCUCGGCCUUUUGGCUAAGAUCAAGUUGUAGUGUCUGUUCUAGAAGGGGAUGUUUUGUAUGUUCACAAACUCUACCAUGUCCAUGACCCCGCUGUGGUUAUGUUUGAUAUUUUCUUUAUUUGUGAAAUGAAGUAAAAUAAAGAGUACAUAUA